rnacentral:misc_RNA from 1 species
GAUGAAGAACGUAGCGAAAUGCGAUAAGUAAUGUGAAUUGCAGAAUUCAGUGAAUCAUCGAAUCUUUGAACGCACAUUGCGCCCCCCAGUAUUCUGGCGGGCAUGCCUGUUCGAGCGUCAUUUCAACCAUCAAGCCCUGCUUGUGUUGGGGUCCUGCGGCUGCCCGCAGGCCCUGAAAACCAGUGGCGGGCUCGCUAGUCACACCGAGCGCAGUAGCACAUCUCGCUCAGGGCGUGCGGCGGGCUCCAGCCGUUAAAGCACCCACCUUUCGCAAGGUUGACCUCGGAUCAGGUAGGAAGACCCGCUGAACUUAAGCAUAUCAAUAAGCGGAGGA